rnacentral:rRNA from 1 species
GUGCCAGCCGCCGCGGUACUACGGAGGGUGCAAGCGUUGUCCGGAAUCACUGGGCGUAAAGGGUGCGCAGGCGGGGCAGCAAGUCGGAGGUGAAAGCCCAUGGCUCAACUAUGGAAGUGCCUUCGAAACUGUUGCUCUUGAGUCCCGGAGAGGCUGUCGGAAUUCGUGGUGUAGCGGUGAAAUGCGUAGAUAUCACGAGGAACACCAAAGGUGAAAGCGGACAGCUGGACGGGUACUGACGCUCAGGCACGAAAGCGUGGGGAGCAAACAGGAUUAGAAACCCCAGUAGUC